rnacentral:rRNA from 1 species
UACGAAGGGGGCUAGCGUUGCUCGGAAUCACUGGGCGUAAAGGGUGCGUAGGCGGGUCUUUUAAGUCAGGGGUGAAAUCCUGGAGCUCAACUCCAGAACUGCCUUUGAUACUGAAGAUCUUGAGUUCGGGAGAGGUGAGUGGAACUGCGAGUGUAGAGGUGAAAUUCGUAGAUAUUCGCAAGAACACCAGUGGCGAAGGCGGCUCACUGGCCCGAUACUGACGCUGAGGUACGAAAGCGUGGGAGCAAACAGG